UGGGGAAUAUUGGACAAUGGGCGAAAGCCUGAUCCAGCCAUGCCGCGUGUGUGAAGAAGGUCUUCGGAUUGUAAAGCACUUUAAGUUGGGAGGAAGGGCAGUAAGCGAAUACCUUGCUGUUUUGACGUUACCGACAGAAUAAGCACCGGCUAACUCUGUGCCAGCAGCCGCGGUAAUACAGAGGGUGCAAGCGUUAAUCGGAAUUACUGGGCGUAAAGCGCGCGUAGGUGGUUCGUUAAGUUGAAUGUGAAAGCCCCGGGCUCGACCUGGGAACUGCAUCCAAAACUGGCGAGCUAGAGUAGGGCAGAGGGUGGUGGAAUUUCCUGUGUAGCGGUGAAAUGCGUAGAUAUAGGAAGGAACACCAGUGGCGAAGGCGACCACCUGGGCUCAUACUGACACUGAGGUGCGAAAGCGUGGGGAGCAAACAGG
rnacentral:rRNA from 1 species